UGGAUGGUGAGCUUAUCAGUUCUGUUGGCCCAGGCCUUUGCGUAUUAGUUGGAAUCCAUAAAUCGGACACUAAGAAAGAUAUCGAUUGGCUGGUGAAUAAACUGCUGACUCUGAAAUUGUUUGGAGAUGAAGGCGGAAAGAGAUGGUCGAAAAACGUUGUUGACUCUGGCCAUGAAAUACUGUGUGUGAGUCAAUUCACCUUGUACUAUUCUCUUAAAGGAACAAAAUUAGACUUUCAUAAUGCUAUGCCUGCCACUCAAUCGCAGCCUUUUACGAAGAGUUUCUAUCUUCAUUAAGGACAGCAUAUUUACCAGAUCGAAUCAAAGGUGAGUGUACCUAUUUGUAAAUCGUAAGUAUUUUUUUGUAAGUAGGUACAAACUUUUCAGUCACAUUUAAAGGCAAAGUUCUUACAUGAAUCUCACAUCAGUAAGCAAGGUAUACCAUAUUGUACUUAGAUAAAAGUAAAAUGUAAUUUUUCUGAAUUCAUCGUUUUAUUAUUGUGAAAGAGAUUUUGUAAUUAAGUGAUUGAUUUUUUUAUUCUUUAACAAAUAAUAGAAUAAAGUCAAAAGCAAAUCAAAUUUUUUCUUUUCCUCUUUUUUUUAGAUGGCAAGUUUGGUGCGAUGAUGGAUGUUAGCCUAAUUAAUGAUGGUCCUGUCACAAUUCAAUUGGAUUCUCCAACUCAGCCAACAGCUACCUCUGGGGAUGUCAGUUAAAAUGAAAAGUCCCUAUUCUAAGAAUACUGGUAGUAUAGAGGAAGUAGUCAAAUCGAAAUGGAAAAAUACGCGGGACCACUUCAACAAAGAGUUCAAGAAGAUCCUGUCCUCGAAUGCUCAAACAAUGGAAGAUGCUGGCAUUGCAUAUCGUGGCAAGUGGCCUUACUUUCGGGAGAUGCUAUUUCUCAAAGACAAAGAGAGACUUGCUGAGCUUGAAGAUGAUAGUAAUGAAACCCAUGAUGAUUUUUACCGAUCGCCACAGCAGGAAGAUGAAAGGACACGGCAACCUCCUCCACCACAGUUGUACCAUGCAGACACUUCAGUCCCUGACCUCAACUUUGAUACAUUCGUGCCAACUCUGGACAGCGCCCCACCUCAGCUGUCUCGGAAACGCCGCAAAAAUGCGGAGGAAGAGGACCUCUAUGAAAGAUUUUUAGCCAUAGAGCAAGAAAAGUUAGAAUUUUUAAGGACUGCUAAAGAGAUGAUGGACCUUGAUGAUGAUAUGCAUUUUGUCAAGUCCUUGGUGCCAUUUUUGAAACAGUUGUCACCGCUAGCUAAGCUGAGUGUCCGUUCUAAAAUUCACCGGGUCAUCGCUGAAGAACUCAGGGGUCAGCGUGGAUUUGAUCGUUUUGACCGGUUUGCAGAAUCCACAUUGCCUCAUCCAACCUCACUCGUGGCAGCCGUCUAUGAUCGCCCUCAAAGUUCCACUCCCUGAUUCUCGUAGUGUACCAGUAGCGAGAGGCUGCUGGUCAUAAGAUUUCCUCUUGAGUUAAAGCGAUUCCGAUUCCAUAGCGAGGAACUGGGUUUUUGUUUCGACCACAUCUUGUUAUUUUAUGUAUUUAUAAAAUUACACAAAAUCCGAUUUUCUUGGGCACAUUAUUUGUUUGCCUGCAGUACUGAUAACGGAUUUUAUAUGUUACUGUGUAAGCUAAUCCUGUUAUCUCAUUAAGAAAUAGAUAUUAAGAGCUCCUUUUUAUCUCUUACCCAAAAUUGUAAUUAGGUUUUCUUGUAUCAUGUUAUUUUCAAAACAAACUAUAAUCCAAGUAGAAUUUUCUAAACAUGACAGAUCUAUCUUACGUCAAUAGGAUGCAUGUACUUUACCAUUUAAAUUCAAAUGCUAUCCUCCGCUUUUACCCAAUAGAAAUAAAUGUUUGAUUUUUACCAAUUUUUUUCCAUCCAGAUUCUUCAGCAGUGGCAGCCAUGAGCACAUGGCACUCUAAUUCCUUAGUUCUUUCGGUUUUCACUCUAAUUCAGCUUUUGUCUUUGCCCACCGAAUUCUGUUUCAUCUCAGUUCCCUUUUCUCAACCUUGUGGAGAAGAGCACAAAGACAAAUACAAAGAGAAGAAUACAAAGUUCAAGAAAUAUCACUUAAUAGUUUUAGCUUUCCCUUCAAGAAUAAAAAUGAAAAAAUGCAGCUUUAAAGUUAUGGAGAUCAGAAUUUUUUAAACGUUUCAUCUUAGCAUGUCAAUUUCCUUGAAAAAGUUCAAUAUUUUUGUAUCAAUACGUGGAUUGCAUGGAAACUUGUUGCAUCUAAUCAAGCAUGAAAAUUUCUUAUACAUCAGAAAGGAUUUUUCAAACACUUAUGUUAAUUUACUGACUCUCAGUAAAGAAACAAUAGAUACUUUCAAAACUUAGCCACUGAUUUUGAAUUAUAAUUGAAACUCAUACGAUAAUAUCUAUUUAAAUUUAAUCAUUAUUAUGUGGAAACUAAAGCAUCCACUCUGUUUUAUGCUAGAUGUGCCUUUGUAUCUGUUAAAUUUAAAUUUAGUCUUUUUUUUAAGUGUAGCCAAAAUCUGUGAUAAAGCUUUUGUUAUUUUGAUUUAAUGGAUAAAUUGCUUGUCUAUAUAUCUUUUUAAUACCUAAGUAUUUCUUAAAUUAAGUGUAAAUAUUUUGGAGAGAAAACGCAGCACUCUUGCUGCUAAUAAAUAUUCAAAAUUUCUUAAAUCUC
rnacentral:lncRNA from 1 species